AAUCUUGCGCAAUGGGCGAAAGCCUGACGCCGCCAUGCCGCGUGAAGGAAGAAGGUCUUAGGAUUGUAAAAUUCUUUCAUGGGGGACGAUAAUGACGGUACCCGGAGAAGAAGCCCCCGCUAACUUCGUGCCAGCAGCCGCCGUACUACGAAGGGGGCUAGCGUUGCUUGGAAUUACUGGGCGUAAAGGGCGCGUAGGCGGACAUUUAAGUCAGGGGUGAAAUCCCAGGGCUCAACUCUGGAACUGCCUUUGAUACUGGGUGUCUUGAGUGUGAGAGAGGUAUGUGGAACUCCGAGUGUAGAGGUGAAAUUCGUAGAUAUUCGGAAGAACACCAGUGGCGAAGGCGACAUACUGGCUCAUUACUGACGCUGAGGCGCGAAAGCGUGGGGAGCAAACAG
rnacentral:rRNA from 1 species